rnacentral:rRNA from 1 species
GAUGAACGCUGGCGGCGUGCUUAACACAUGCAAGUCGAACGGAAAGGCCGAAGCUUGCUUCGGUACUCGAGUGGCGAACGGGUGAGUAACACGUGGGUGAUCUGCCCUGUACUUCGGGAUAAGCUUGGGAAACUGGGUCUAAUACCGGAUAUGACGAUCUCUUGGAUGGGGUUGUGGAAAGCUUUUGCGGUAUGGGAUGAGCUCGCGGCCUAUCAGCUUGUUGGUGGGGUAAUGGCCUACCAAGGCGUCGACGGGUAGCCGGCCUGAGAGGGUGUACGGCCACAUUGGGACUGAGAUACGGCCCAGACUCCUACGGGAGGCAGUAGUGGGGAAUAUUGCACAAUGCGCGCAAGCCUGAUGCAGCGACGCCGCGUGGGGGAUGAAGGCCUUCGGGUUGUAAACUCCUUUCGCAAUCGACGAAGCCUUUUGGUGACGGUAGGUUGAGAAGAAGCACCGGCUAACUACGUG